rnacentral:rRNA from 1 species
CGUAACAAGGUCUCCGUUGGUGAACCAGCGGAGGGAUCAUUACCGAGUUUUCAACUCCCAAACCCUUAUGUGAACCUACCUAUCGUUGCUUCGGCGGACUCGCCCCAGCCGGACGCGGACUGGACCAGCGGCCGCCGGGGACCAUCAAACUCUUGUAUUAUCAGCAUCUUCUGAAUACGCCGCAAGGCAAAACAAAUAAAUUAAAACUUUCAACAACGGAUCUCUUGGCUCUGGCAUCGAUGAAGAACGCAGCGAAAUGCGAUAAGUAAUGUGAAUUGCAGAAUCCAGUGAAUCAUCGAAUCUUUGAACGCACAUUGCGCCCGCCAGCAUUCUGGCGGGCAUGCCUGUUCGAGCGUCAUUUCAACCCUCGACCUCCCUUUGGGGAAGUCGGCGUUGGGGACCGGCAGCACACCGCCGGCCCUGAAAUGGAGUGGCGGCCCGUCCGCGGCGACCUCUGCGUAGUAAACCAACUCGCACCGGAACCCCGACGUGGCCACGCCGUAAAACACCCAACUUCUGAACGUUGACCUCGAAUCAGGUAGGACUACCCGCUGAACUUAAGCAUAUCAUA